UAAUAUCAGUAUAAAUUGACUUUUUAAACGACGCGGUUUUUAGUUUAAACGUAUGCAAAUUUGACACUAAUAGUGUGGCCGGAUGCGACCGCUGUAUUAACUGGGGAAUUCUCCUUUCGAAAACACGAGCCGCGGCGAAAGACAACUACCGGCCCCCUCACUCAGGAUGUCGUGCCACAAUCAGCAAAUGAGCAAUGUGAACACCAGCCAGGAGCACCCUAUGAAGCAAGUGCGCUUUGCAAACAGCAGCAGCAAUGUGGCCGCUGUGUUGUCCACUUCUGAGGCGGGUGAUGCCAGCAGGAGACAGUCUGUAACCCAAGCCUCACUGGGACCCCAACUCAAACUGCUUCCUCUCAAUGACCAGAUCAGAGAAUUACAGACUAUUAUUAGAGACAAGACAACCAGCAGAGGGGAUUUUGUGUUUUGUGCUGACCGACUGAUUAGACUUGUAGUCGAAGAAGGCUUGAAUCAACUGCCUUACUCCGAGUGCACUGUGACCACACCAACAGGAUAUAAAUAUGAAGGAGUGAAGUUUGAGAGAGGCAACUGCGGCGUCAGCAUUAUGAGGAGUGGUGAGGCCAUGGAGCAGGGUCUGCGGGACUGCUGCCGCUCCAUUCGCAUUGGCAAAAUCCUCAUCCAAAGCGACGAGGAGACCCAGAAAGCCAAGGUUUACUAUGCCAAGUUCCCUCCAGAUAUUUACAGAAGAAAAGUGCUGCUCAUGUACCCCAUCCUCAGUACUGGGAACACUGUUAUUGAAGCAGUGAAGGUGCUAAUCGAGCACGGAGUCCAGCCCAAACAUAUUAUCCUCCUCAGCCUCUUCUCCACACCUCACGGUAAACUGCAUUGCUGCAUGGUGGAUGCAGCUGGUGAUUAGUAUUAUCCAACACUUAUUUUGAAAUAAUUCAGUAAAGUCUCACCAUUUUCAAUGAUAUCACAAAGAUAUGUCUCAGGAAAACCUUAACUAUACUGGGCCAAGUCUAUAAUCCAGGAGUUCCCAGACAUCACAAUAUUGGCAACAGAAGUUCACCCAGUGGCACCAACACAUUUUGGACAAAGGUAUUUUGGCACUGAUUAAAACCAGGACAAGCUGAGCAACAUGAGCUUGUAAUUGCUUUAAGUACAGUAUGUGUUUUUGUCAGCUUUAUUUAAAAAUGUUCAUGUUCUCCUUGUUGUGCCAAAUACUCUUUCCCGCCCCCCCCCAAAAAAACAUUGGUAUUUAUUCUAUUGAUCUCUUUUUGCUGAAUACAAACAAUGCUGAGCCAUAUCAAGAUAAUUUUAUUUUGGAUGUUAUGAGCAUUGAUUCAAUAAAGGAUUUAUAUUUGUUAUCAGAAAGA